rnacentral:tRNA from 1 species
AGUAAAGUCAGCUAAUUAAGCUUUCGGGCCCAUACCCCGAAAAUGUUGGUAUCACAACCCUUCCUAUACUA